rnacentral:rRNA from 1 species
UACAGAGGUCCCGAGCGUUGUUCGGAUUCACUGGGCGUAAAGGGUGCGUAGGUGGCGUGGUAAGUUUGAUGUGAAAGCUCAGGGCUUAACCCUGAAAUGGCAUUGAAUACUACUGUGCUGGAGGUUUGGAGGGGGGACUGGAAUUCUUGGUGUAGCAGUGAAAUGCGUAGAUAUCAAGAGGAACACCGGUGGCGAAGGCGGCUUUCUGGACGGUUACUGACGCUGAGACGCGAAAGCGUGGGGAGCAAACAGG